ensembl:lncRNA
GAAACAGUGAGAGACUUUAUUUUGGGGGGCUCCAAAAUCACUCCAGAUGGUGACUGCAGCCAUGAAAUUAAAAGAAGCUUGAUCUCUGGAAGAAAAGCUAUGACCAACCUAGACAGCAUAUUAAGAAGCAGAGACAUUACUUUGCCAACAAAGGUCCAUCUAGUCAAAGCUAUGGUUUUUCCAGUAGUCAUGUGUGGAUGUGAGAGUUGGACUAUAAAGAAAGCUGAGUGCUGAAGUAUUGAAGCUUUUGAACUGUGGUGUUGGAGAAGACUCUUAAGAGUCCCUUGGACUGCAAGGAGAUCCAACCUGUCCAUCCUAAGGGAAAUCAAUCCUGAAUAUUCAUUGGAAGGACUGAUGCUGAAGCUGAAAUUCCAAUAAUUUGGCCUACCGAUGGGAAGAGCCGACUCAUUUGAAAAGACCCCGAUGCUGGGAAAGAUUGAAGGUCAACAAAAUCUCCUGUCAGGGCAGACGUCUCCUGGAUCCAUGUCAACACUCGAAAGGCUAAGAGGGGGUCUGCUUUCCCUGAUGGGCCCAAGAGCCUCCAUCCUGCGUCCAGUCAGGCUAUCAGUUUCUUUCUCCUCUAAGGUGGGCAGACUCCGAACUGCCCAAGUGCACAGUAGUGGGUCAUGCUGCUUAGACCUACCCUGGGACCCCAUCCACCCCUGGCUAAGAAGCUUCAAUCAGGGAUUAAGAUGAUCCAUAUGAAGUUCUUUAAAGGAUUAAAGCCAUGUUCUGUGGUGAUUAAUCUGAGUGCACUGGAAUGUGGUGGGGAAGAUGCUUUGAUGUCAGUAGGAACCUGGUACCAUCAUCCGAGUGUGAAGUAAUGAGACGUGAGGGUCAGGGCUAAUUGGGAGCUUGGCGGAGGAGGAC